rnacentral:rRNA from 1 species
CCUACGGGUGGAUGCAGUGGGGAAUAUUGGACAAUGGGGGCAACCCUGAUCCAGCCAUGCCGCGUGUGUGAAGAAGGCCCUCGGGUUGUAAAGCACUUUCAGUGAGGAAGAACGCCUGGUGGUUAAUACCCAUCAGGAAAGACAUCACUCACAGAAGAAGCACCGGCUAACUCCGUGCCAGCAGCCGCGGUAAUACGGAGGGUGCGAGCGUUAAUCGGAAUUACUGGGCGUAAAGCGCGCGUAGGUGGCUUGAUAAGCCGGUUGUGAAAGCCCCGGGCUCAACCUGGGAACGGCAUCCGGAACUGUCAAGCUAGAGUGCAGGAGAGGAAGGUAGAAUUCCCGGUGUAGCGGUGAAAUGCGUAGAGAUCGGGAGGAAUACCAGUGGCGAAGGCGGCCUUCUGGACUGACACUGACACUGAGGUGCGAAAGCGUGGGUAGCAAACAGGAUUAGAUACCCCAGUAGUC